UCUGAAAGACAGAGCUGCCUCAGCUUCACCCAUCUCCUUCUCUCGUGGAAAAUAAAGUGGCUGCAGAGGGCAUUUUCUUGGGACUUUUUCUCAUAACAAAACCACGGCAUUUCCUGCUGCAUUCCCUGAGAUAAGAGCAUAUGGAUCUGAGAGAAAUGAAGGGGAAGUAAAAGAACUGCAGCUGAUGUAUUUGUCCUCUACUGAUGGAAGUCAAGAAAGUUUAUCCAGUAACACUUCAAGCAUUUGGGAGUGCAAACAAAAAAGUGAACUGCUGUCUUCAAAUACCACUACUUUUUUCUUUUGGCAGUUAGCAGGUUUAGAAAAGCCUCUGUGAUUCUCAGCUAGAAGUAAAGUUUCAUGUGCGUUAUAUUAAGU
rnacentral:lncRNA from 1 species